UUUCCUACGGGAGGCCGCAGUGGGGCUUAUUGCGGUUUUGGCGAAAGCCUGACGCAGCGACGCCGCGUGAGGGAUGAAGGUCUUCGGAUCGUAAACCUCUGUCAGCAGGGAAGAACGGUCACUGUGCUAAUCAGCAGUGAAUUGACGGUACCUGCAAAGGAAUCACCGGCUAACUCCGUGCCAGCAGCCGCGGUAAUACGGAGGGUGCGAGCGUUAAUCGGAAUUACUGGGCGUAAAGCGCUCGUAGGCGGUAUGUCAAGUCAAG
rnacentral:rRNA from 1 species